rnacentral:rRNA from 1 species
GAUGAACGCUGGCGGUGUGCCUAAUACAUGCAAGUCGAGCGGUAACAGGUCUAGUUUACUAGAUGCUGACGAGCGGCGGACGGCUGAGUAACACGUAGGAACAUACCCCAAAGUGAGGGAUAACUGCUCGAAAGAGUAGCUAAUACCGCAUGUGAUCUAAGGAUUAAAGCUUCGGCGCUUUGGGAAUGGCCUGCGUUCGAUUAGCUAGAUGGUGAGGUAAAAGCUUACCAUGGCGACGAUCGAUAGCUGGUCUGAGAGGAUGAUCAGCCAGACUGGGACUGAGACACGGCCCAGACUCCUACGGGAGGCAGCAGUAGGGAAUUUUCCACAAUGGGCGAAAGCCUGAUGGAGCAACACCGCGUGCAGGAUGAAUGUCUUCGGAUUGUAAACUGCUUUUAUAUGUGACGAUUAUGACGGUAGCAUAUGAAUAAGGAUCGGCUAACUCCGUGCCAGCAGCCGCAGUAAUAC